rnacentral:rRNA from 1 species
UACGUAGGUGGCAAGCGUUAUCCGGAAUUAUUGGGCGUAAAGAGCGCGCAGGUGGUUAAUUAAGUCUGAUGUGAAAGCCCACGGCUUAACCGUGGAGGGUCAUUGGAAACUGGUUGACUUGAGUGCAGAAGAGGGAAGUGGAAUUCCAUGUGUAGCGGUGAAAUGCGUAGGUAUAUGGAGGAACACCGGUGGCGAAAGCGGCUCUCUGGCCUGUAACUGACACUGAGGCUCGAAAGCGUGGGGAGCAAACAGG